rnacentral:rRNA from 1 species
AANACGCUGCGGCAGGCCUAACACAUGCAAGUCGGGCGGUAACAGAGAUAGCUUGCUAUCUGCUGACGAGCGGCGGACGGGUGAGUAAUGCAUAGGAAUCUGCCUGGUAGUGGGGGAUAGCCCAGAGAAAUUUGGAUUAAUACCGCAUACGCCCUACGGGGGAAAGCUGGGGACCUUCGGGCCUAGCGCUAUCAGAUGAGCCUAUGUCGGAUUAGCUUGUUGGUGAGGUAACGGCUCACCAAGGCGACGAUCCGUAGCUGGUCUGAGAGGAUGAUCAGCCACACUGGGACUGAGACACGGCCCAGACUCCUACGGGAGGCAGCAGUGGGGAAUAUUGGACAAUGGGCGCAAGCCUGAUCCAGCCAUGCCGCGUGUGUGAAGAAGGCCUUCGGGUUGUAAAGCACUUUCAGCUGAGGAGGAAAGGGGUGCUGCUAAUAUCANCGCCCUGUGACGUUACUCGCAGAAGAAGCACCGGCUAACUNCGUGCCAGCAGCCGCGGUAAU